rnacentral:rRNA from 1 species
GAUGAACGCUGGCGGCGUGCCUAAUACAUGCAAGUCGAGCGAACAGACGAGGAGCUUGCUCCUCUGACGUUAGCGGCGGACGGGUGAGUAACACGUGGAUAACCUACCUAUAAGACUGGGAUAACUUCGGGAAACCGUAGCUAAUACCGGAUAAUAUAUUGAACCGCAUGGUUCAAUAGUGAAAGACGGUUUUGCUGUCACUUAUAGAUGGAUCCGCGCCGCAUUAGCUAGUUGGUAAGGUAACGGCUUACCAAGGCAACGAUGCGUAGCCGACCUGAGAGGGUGAUCGGCCACACUGGAACUGAGACACGGUCCAGACUCCUACGGGAGGCAGCAGUAGGGAAUCUUCCGCAAUGGGCGAAAGCUUGACGGAGCAACGCCGCGUGAGUGAUGAAGGUCUUCGGAUCGUAAAACUCUGUUAUUAGGGAAGAACAAAUGUGUAAGUAACUAUGCACGUCUUGACGGUACCUAAUCAGAAAGCCACGGCUAACUACGUG